GGAAUCACCAAUCGGCACUCGAGGAAUCAGUUCUCGGAACAGUGAGCGAAGCUCGGUCCACCGGAAUGAAAGAAGACACUAUCUGUCAGUUCUCGAGGAAGCAGUACUCUAUAAAGCUCGGCCACCGAGGAAGCAGUUCUCCGAUUUCUCUGAUUUCGAUCGACCUUCAUUCACUGUUCCGAGAACUGAUAUUACCGAUCCACCUGUCGAACUCCUCUGGUUCUGCUCGGCCUUCGAUUC
rnacentral:lncRNA from 1 species